rnacentral:rRNA from 1 species
AUUGAACGCUGGCGGCAGGCUUAACAAAUGCAAGUCGAGCGAGCGGCGGACGGGUGAGUAAUGUCUGGGAAAAUGCCUGAUGGAGGGGGAUAACUACUGGAAACGGUAGCUAAUACCGCAUACCAUCAGAUGUGCCCAGAUGGGAUUAGCUAGUUGGUGGGGUAAUGGCUCACCGAGGCGACGAUCCCUAGCUGGUCUGAGAGGAUAACCAGCAACACUGGAACGGAGACACGGUCCAGACUCCUACGGGAGGCAGCAGGGGGGAAGAUUGCACAAUGGGCGCAAGCCUGAUGCAGCCAUGCCGCGUGUGUGAAGAAGGCCUUCGGGUUGUAAAGCACUUUCAGCGAGGAGGCGUUACUCGCAGAAGAGGCACCGGCUAACUCCGUGCCAGCAGCCGCGGUAAUUC